rnacentral:rRNA from 1 species
UACAGAGGGUGCGAGCGUUAAUCGGAAUGACUGGGCGUAAAGGGCGCGUAGGCGGUUCGUUGUGUCGGCGGUGAAAGCCCCGGGCUUAACCUGGGAAUGGCCGUUGAAACUGGCGAACUGGAGUGUGGCAGAGGGGGGUGGAAUUCCGCGUGUAGCAGUGAAAUGCGUAGAGAUGCGGAGGAACACCGAUGGCGAAGGCAGCCCCCUGGGCUAACACUGACGCUCAGGCACGAAAGCGUGGGGAGCAAACAGG